rnacentral:rRNA from 1 species
UACACUCCUGCGGGAGGCAGCAGUGGGGAAUUUUGGACAAUGGGCGAAAGCCUGAUCCAGCCAUGCCGCGUGCAGGAUGAAGGCCUUCGGGUUGUAAACUGCUUUUGUACGGAACGAAACGGCCUUUUCUAAUAAAGAGGGCUAAUGACGGUACCGUAAGAAUAAGCACCGGCUAACUACGUGCCAGCAGCCGCGGUAAUACGUAGGGUGCAAGCGUUAAUCGGAAUUACUGGGCGUAAAGCGUGCGCAGGCGGUUAUGUAAGACAGUUGUGAAAUCCCCGGGCUCAACCUGGGAACUGCAUCUGUGACUGCAUAGCUAGAGUACGGUAGAGGGGGAUGGAAUUCCGCGUGUAGCAGUGAAAUGCGUAGAUAUGCGGAGGAACACCGAUGGCGAAGGCAAUCCCCUGGACCUGUACUGACGCUCAUGCACGAAAGCGUGGGGAGCAAACAGGAUUAGAUACCCCGGUAGUCCCAUGA